rnacentral:rRNA from 1 species
GACGAACGCUGGCGGCGUGCUUAACACAUGCAAGUCGAACGGAAAGGCCCUGCUUUUGUGGGGUGCUCGAGUGGCGAACGGGUGAGUAACACGUGAGUAACCUGCCCUUGACUUUGGGAUAACUUCAGGAAACUGGGGCUAAUACCGGAUAGGAGCUCCUGCUGCAUGGUGGGGGUUGGAAAGUUUCGGCGGUUGGGGAUGGACUCGCGGCUUAUCAGCUUGUUGGUGGGGUAGUGGCUUACCAAGGCUUUGACGGGUAGCCGGCCUGAGAGGGUGACCGGCCACAUUGGGACUGAGAUACGGCCCAGACUCCUAGGGGAGGCAGCAGUGGGGAAUAUUGCACAAUGGGCGGAAGCCUGAUGCAGCAACGCCGCGUGCGGGAUGACGGCCUUCGGGUUGUAAACCGCUUUCGCCUGUGACGAAGCGUGAGUGACGGUAAUGGGUAAAGAAGCACCGGCUAACUACGUGCCAGCAGCCGCGGUGAUACGUAGGGUGCGAGCGUUGUCCGGAUUUAUUGGGCGUAAAGGGCUCGUAGGUGGUUGAUCGCGUCGGAAGUGUAAUCUUGGGGCUUAACCCUGAGCGUGCUUUCGAUACGGGUUGACUUGAGGAAGGUAGGGGAGAAUGGAAUUCCUGGUGGAGCGGUGGAAUGCGCAGAUAUCAGGAGGAACACCAGUGGCGAAGGCGGUUCUCUGGGCCUUUCCUGACGCUGAGGAGCGAAAGCGUGGGGAGCGAACAGGCUUAGAUACCCUGGUAGUCCACGCUGUAAACGGUGGGUACUAGGUGUGGGGUCCAUUCCACGGGUUCCGUGCCGUAGCUAACGCUUUAAGUACCCCGCCUGGGGAGUACGGCCGCAAGGCUAAAACUCAAAGGAAUUGACGGGGCCCCGCACAAGCGGCGGAGCAUGCGGAUUAAUUCGAUGCAACGCGUAGAACCUUACCUGGGUUUGACAUGGAUCGGGAGUGCUCAGAGAUGGGUGUGCCUCUUUUGGGGUCGGUUCACAGGUGGUGCAUGGCUGUCGUCAGCUCGUGUCGUGAGAUGUUGGGUUAAGUCCCGCAACGAGCGCAACCCUUGUUCACUGUUGCCAGCACGUUAUGGUGGGGACUCAGUGGAGACCGCCGGGGUCAACUCGGAGGAAGGUGGGGAUGACGUCAAGUCAUCAUGCCCCUUAUGUCCAGGGCUUCACGCAUGCUACAAUGGCUGGUACAGAGAGUGGCGAGCCUGUGAGGGUGAGCGAAUCUCGGAAAGCCGGUCUCAGUUCGGAUUGGGGUCUGCAACUCGACCUCAUGAAGUCGGAGUCGCUAGUAAUCGCAGAUCAGCAACGCUGCGGUGAAUACGUUCCCGGGGCU